GCGUGACCACCUCGAGCAGUCAUAAGGAAGUCUACCUUCUUGUCGAUGACUAGCUCGAUGCUGCAGUUGUGUGUCUAGUUCUUUGACCUGAGGUGCAUCGAUGGUUCACCUUGAGUGUGUUAUAGUUUGACUACACUAUAACUCUAUCUCCUAGCCAUCCGAAAUCCUGAGGUGUAUGUUGGCUGUAGCAUAUUCAUUGUAGGAACCAGAUCGCACCAAGAUGGGAUCUAUCAACCUCGGUAGAUGAGAGGAGUAGUCCUAUGAUGAUCGAAAGAUCGAGUCUUUAAGCCCAUGGCCAUGGCAGAGUGAAAUAAU
rnacentral:lncRNA from 1 species